GGCGUAAGCGCGCGCAGGCGGUCCUUUAAGUCUGAUGUGAAAGCCCACCCCUCAACCGUGGAGGGUCAUUGGAAACUGGGGGACUUGAGUCGCAAAAAAGGAAAGUGGAAUUCCAAGUGUACCGGUGAAAUGCGUAAAGAUUUGAAGGAACACCAGGGGCAAAGGCAACUUUCUGGUCUGUAACUGACCCUAAGGCGCGAAAGCGUGGGGAGCAAACAGGAUUAAAUACCCUGGUAGUCCACGCCGUAAACAAUGAUGGCUAAGUGUUAGGGGGUUUCCGCCCCUUAUUGCUGCAUCUAACGCAUUAACCACUCCGCCUGGGAAGUACGGUCGCAAAACUGAAACUCAAAGGAAUUGACGGGAGCCCGCACAAGCGGUGAAGCAUGUGGUUUAAUUCAAACCAACGCGAAAAACCUUACCAGGUCUUGACAUCGCGUUGACCACUGUAAAAAUAUGGUUUCCCCUUCGGGGACAACGAUGACAGGUGGUGCAUGGUUGUCGUCACCUCGUGUCAUGAGAUGUUGGAUUAAGUCCCGCAACGAGCGCAACCCUUGAUCUUAGUUGCCAUCAUUUAGUUGGGCACUCUAAGGUGACUGCCGAUGACAAACCGG
rnacentral:rRNA from 1 species